GGGAAGGUGGCUCAGUGGUAGAGCACUUGCCUUGCAUGCAUGAGGCCCUGGGUUGGAUUCCUCAUUACCA
rfam:Dipodomys ordii contig_2055, whole genome shotgun sequence.